AGUGAACGCUGGCGGUAGGCCUAACACAUGCAAGUCGAACGGCAGCACAGUAAGAGCUUGCUCUUACGGGUGGCGAGUGGCGGACGGGUGAGGAAUACAUCGGAAUCUACUUUUUCGUGGGGGAUAACGUAGGGAAACUUACGCUAAUACCGCAUACGACCUACGGGUGAAAGUAGGGGAUCUUCGGACCUUGCGCGAUUGAAUGAGCCGAUGUCGGAUUAGCUAGUUGGCGGGGUAAAGGCCCACCAAGGCGACGAUCCGUAGCUGGUCUGAGGGGAUGAUCAGCCACACUGGAACUGAGACACGGUCCAGACUCCUACGGGAGGCAGCAGUGGGGAAUAUUGGACAAUGGGCGCAAGCCUGAUCCAGCCAUACCGCGUGGGUGAAGAAGGCCUUCGGGUUGUAAAGCCCUUUUGUUGGGAAAGAAAAGCAGCAGGUUAAUACCCCGCUGUUCUGACGGUACCCAAAGAAUAAGCACCGGCUAACUUCGUG
rnacentral:rRNA from 1 species